GCUGGGCAUGGUGGCUCAUGCCUGUAAUCCCAGCACUUUGGGAGGCUGAGGCAGGUGGAUCACCUGAGGUCAGGAGUUUGAGACCAGCCUGGCCAAUAUGGUAAAACCCUGUCUCUA
ensembl:misc_RNA Metazoa_SRP Metazoan signal recognition particle RNA